GGGGUUGUGGCUCAGUGGUAGAGCACUCACUUCUCACGUGUGAGGCUCUGGGUUCAAUCCUCAGCACCA
rnacentral:tRNA from 1 species